AACGAACGUUGGCGGCGUGCUUAACACAUGCAAGUCGAACGAAGUGGCGAACGGGUGAGUAACGCGUAAUCAACCUGCCCUUCAGAGGGGGACAACAGUUGGAAACGACUGCUAAUACCGCAUACUGAAGGAGGGGAUUGCGUCGGAUGAGCAAGUGGGAGGGGUAACGGCCCACCAAGGCGAUGAUCAGUAGCCGGUCUGAGAGGAUGAACGGCCACAUUGGGACUGAGACACGGCCCAGACUCCUACUGGAGGCAGCAGUGGGGAAUCUUCCGCAAUGGACGAAAGUCUGACGGAGCAACGCCGCGUGAGUGAUGACGGCCUUCGGGUUGUAAAGCUCUGUUAAUCGGGACGCGGGACCGGAAUAGAAAGCCACGGCUAACUACGUGCCAGAGCCGCGGUAAUUC
rnacentral:rRNA from 1 species